GAUGAACGCUGGCGGCGUGCCUAAUACAUGCCAGUCGAGCGAACAGAUGAGGAUCUUUCUCCUCUGACGUUAGCGGCGGACGGGUGAGUAACACGUGGAUAACCUACCUAUAAGACUGGGAUAACUUCGGGAAACCGGAGCUAAUACCGGAUAAUAUAUUGAACCUCAUGGUUCAAUAGUGAAAUACGGUUUUGCUGUCACUUAUAGAUGGAUCCGCCCCGCAUUAGCUAGUUGGUAAGGUAACGGCUUACCAAGGCAACGAUGCGUAGCCGACCUGAGAGGAUGAUCGGCCCCCCUGGAACUGAGACACGGCCCAGACUCCUACGGGAGGCAGCAGUAGGGAAUCUACCGCAAUGGGAGAAAGCCUGACGGAGCAAAGCCGCGUGAGUGAUGAAGGUCUUCGGAUCGUAAAACUCUGUUAUUAGGGAAGAACAAAUGUGUAAGUAACUAUGCACGUCUUGACGGUACCUAAUCAGAAAGCCACGGCUAACUACGUG
rnacentral:rRNA from 1 species